rnacentral:rRNA from 1 species
GUUAAAAAAGCUCGUAGUUGGAUUUCUGUUGAGAAUGUCCAGUCCGCACAUUGUGCGAGUAUUUGGUACAGUCUUGGCAUCCUCCUGGGGAGCGUUGAUGUACUUGAUUGUAUGUUGCGUGAUUCAGGACUUUUACUUUGAGGAAAUUAGAGUGUUCACGGCAGGCGUUUGCCUUGAAUAUGUUAGCAUGGAAUAAUAAUAUAAGACCUCGGUUUUAUUUUGUUGGUUUCUAGAAGCGAGGUAAUGAUUAAUAGGGACAAUUGGGGGUAUUCGAAUUAACGCGUCAGAGGUGGAAUUCUUGGAUUGCGUUACGACGAACUACUGCGAAAGCAUUUACCAAGGAUGUUUUCAUUGAUCAAGAACGAAAGUCAGGGGAUCGAAGACGAUUAGAUACCGUCGUAGUCUUGACCAUAAACUAUGCCGACUAGAGAUUGGAGGUUCGCUCUUUUUACGGCUCCUUCAGCAUCUUAUGAGAAAUCAAAGUUUUUGGGUUCCGGGGGGAGUAUGGUCGCAAGGCUGAAACUUAAAGG